rnacentral:pre_miRNA from 3 species
UCUCAUGGAUGAACAAAGAAAGUGGUUUUUUGAGAUGGAAUCUACUUUUAGUUUAGAUGAUGUGAA